rnacentral:rRNA from 1 species
GCUUGUCUCAAAGAUUAAGCCAUGCAUGUCUUAGUGUAAAUAACUCUUAUGAAACUGCGAAUGGCUCAUUAAAUCAGUUAUCGUUUAUUUGAUGGUCCCUUACUACAUGGAUAACCGUAGUAAUUCUAGAGCUAAUACAUGCAUUACGUCCUGACUUUUCGGAAAGGAUGCACUUAUUAGAUACAACCAACCCUUCGGGUCUUUGGUGAAUCAUAAUAAUUGAGCGAACCGCAUGCUUCGGCGGCGGUGGUUCAUUCAAGUUUCUGCCCUAUCAGCUUUCGAUGGUAGGGUAUUGGCCUACCAUGGCGUUAACGGGUAACGGAGAAUUAGGGUUCGAUUCCGGAGAGGGAGCCUGAGAGAUGGCUACCACAUCCAAGGAAGGCAGCAGG